CCUACGGGAGGCAGCAGUGAGGAAUAUUGGUCAAUGGGCGCAAGCCUGACCCAGCAACGCCGCGUGAAGGAAGAAGGCUUUCGGGUUGUAAACUUCUUUUAAGAGGGAAGAGCAGAAGACGGUACCCCUUGAAUAAGCCACGGCUAACUACGUGCCAGCAGCCGCGGUAAUACGUAGGUGGCAAGCGUUGUCCGGAUUUACUGGGUGUAAAGGGCGUGCAGCCGGAGAGACAAGUCAGAUGUGAAAUCCACGGGCUCAACCCGUGAACUGCAUUUGAAACUGUUUCCCUUGAGGGUCGGAGGGGGGAUCGGAAUUCCUUGUGUAGCGGGGAAAUGGGUAGAUAGAAGGAAGAACACCAGUGGCGAAGGCGGAUUACUGGACGUAAACUGACGGUGAGGGGCGAAAGCGUGGGAGCAAACAGGAUUAGAUACCCCUGUAGUC
rnacentral:rRNA from 1 species